rnacentral:rRNA from 1 species
GCUAUAGCUGUCUAAUAUAUUCCGGACGUAGACUUGUUGGUAAGGUAGUGGCUUACCAAGGUGAUGACGGGUAACGGGGAAUCAGGGUUCGAUUCCGGAGAGGGAGCCUGAGAAACGGCUACCACUUCCAAGGAAGGCAGCAGGCGCGCAAAUUACCCAAUCCAGACAAUGGGAGGUAGCAACGAGAAAUACCAAGAGCAGCCUUUUGGUUGCUUAUUGGAAUGGACAUAAUGUAAAUACUUUGAUGAGUAACAACUGGAGGGCAAGUCUGGUGCCAGCAGCCGCGGUAAUUCCAGCUCCAGUAGUGUAUAUCAAAAUUGUUGCGUUUAAAAAGCUCGUAGUCGGAUGAUAAGUGCAUCUGAUUUUGCGACCAUCUGCACGGUACUGCCUUCGGGUAGGUCCGGGUGUUGGAAGGCAGAGUUGUGGUGUACUUUUAUCGCAAACUCCAGUUGUGGGAUUAAUUUCUUGUGGCUGGUCGGUUGCGAGGCGUGCCUUGAAUAAAGCAGAGUGCUCAAAGCAAGCGUAACGCUGGAAUGUAAUAGCAUGGAACGAUGAGAAAAGAGUGUCACCUUGGCUGUGUGGGUUGAGCAAUCAAUCUGCGCAGUUGUAUUCAGUUGGUUGGUGCGGUCGGUAACGCGGGCGUGUGCUGUUAACGCAGUGCAUGUUCGAGGUCGCAGGCUAACACUGCGGUGCAGUCUUUCGGGGCUGUGCUGUAGUGGUUCUGAAGUGGGUGAUGGUUAAAAGGGACAUUUGAGGGCGUUAGUACUUGCAUAUUCUGUAGCGAGUCGAUAUGUGAGCCUAUUUUAGACUGCGAUAGCUCAAUUUAUUGUCUAGCCAUAAAUUGAUCAAGAACGAAAGUUGGAGGUUCGAAGACGAUCAGAUACCGUCCUAGUUCCAUACAGUAAACUAUGCCGACUCGGGAUCAGUUCGAAACAGAUUCAGGUUGGUCCCACAGUGAAAACUAAAGUUUUCAGGUUAUGGGGAGAGUACGCUACGCAAGUUUGAAAUUUAAAAGAAUUGACGGAAUGGCACCACAAGGAGUGGAGCCUGCGGCUUAAUUUGACUCAACACGGGGCAACUUACCAGGUCCGGACAUCGGAAGGAUUGACAGACUGACAGAUCUUUCAUGAUUUGAUGAUUGGUGGUGCAUGGCCGUUCUUAGUUGGUGGAGUGAUCUGUCAGGUUGAUUCCGGUAACGAGCGAGACCACGAUGUCUAGUUAAUGGCGACAGUCGCUCUGCGGCAGUCGAUUGUAGACAGACAACCGGAUUAAAGCCGGGGGAAGCGUGGCAAUAACAGGUCUGUGAUGCCCUUCGAUGUUCUGGGCUGCACGCGCGCUACAAUGGCAACGACAGAGAGCGAUAUGGUUGCAUCGAGAGAUGCGACGAAUCAGCAAUCGUUGUCGUGAUUGGGAUUGAGCCUUGUAAGAUUUGCUCAUGAAAGAGGAAUUCCUCGUAAGCGCGAGUCACCAACUGCGUGUUGUAUAUCUUCGCAUGCUAUUAAGCGAGUCGCACUAUACAGCUCACGAUUUCAGCACGCUAAUGCUGCGAGUAGCUAGCGCACUUAUAAUGCACGUUAGCUUACGUAGCAUGCUUAUAGCUAGCACACGUA